rnacentral:rRNA from 1 species
CUACGGGCUGCAGCAGUGAGGAAUAUUGCACAACGGGGGGAACCCUGAUGCAGCAACGCCGCGUGGAGGAUGACGCAUUUCGGUGUGUAAACUCCUUUUAUAUGUCAAGAAAAUGACGGUAGCAUAUGAAUAAGCACCGGCUAACUCCGUGCCAGCAGCCGCGGUAAUACGGAGGGUGCAAGCGUUACUCGGAAUCACUGGGCGUAAAGGACGCGUAGGCGGGUUGGAAAGUCAGGUGUGAAAUCCUACAGCUUAACUGUAGAACUGCACUUGAAACUUCUAAUCUAGAGUAUGGGAGGGGGAGAUGGAAUUAGUGGUGUAGGGGUAAAAUCCGUAGAUAUCACUAGGAAUACCUAAAGCGAAGGCGAUCUCCUGGAACAUUACUGACGCUAAGGCGUGAAAGCGUCGGGAGCAAACAGGAUUAGAUACCCUUGUAGUC